GUGAGUCAUCGAAUCUUUGAACGCACAUUGCGCCUGUUAGUAUUCUAGCAGGCAUGCCUGUCCGAGCGUCAUUACGACCCCCCAGGCCCCUGUGGCCCGGUGUUGGGGCGCUGUAGCCGUAGCGCUGCAGCCCCCGAAACGCAGUGGCGGACCCGACGAGGACCCGAGCGCAGUAGCAACCCUCUCGCUCAGGGCGCCCCGGAGGGACUCCUGCCGUAAAACCCCCACUACCACACAAGGUUGACCUCGGAUCAGGUAGGAAUACCCGCUGAACUUAAGCAUAUCAAUAAGCGGAGGA
rnacentral:misc_RNA from 1 species